UUCAGGUUAAAGGUCAGUAAUUCAAAUCCUUCUUUGUUUCAUAUAAAAAAGGACAACUUCAUAUCGUCUUUACGUAUCUUUAGAGAACAUCACUUUUUCCUACACCUAUUUUUCAUGAAAGUUCUAUCACAAAUUAACGAAAAAAUGAAAAGAAAAUAGGGGGUUAUGUAGUUCCUAGUGAAAUGCCAGUCAGUUGUGGUCUGCUACCCUAAAAAUGGCGCAUAUUUACUCUCGUCCGCGCAAUAAACACCUACUUCCGGUUUCGAUCUGCAAAACUUGCCAUGUGGGGUGUAUGAACAUGAAAACCGUCUCAUUUCAUGCAGAAUGUCUUCUAGUAGUGAGAAACGGUGAUUAAAGCACUCGUUCUACACGAAUUUGCGCAAAAAAUGGGAAAAUUAGGAUCUAUUUAUUAUGGACUUCUUUCGACUACACCACGGAAGCACAUUUUCGACCGAAUUACUGACCUUAUUCCUUUCAACUAAGCUUUAACACCAAUUUACGUUGUCUAUAAGUGUCUAUGUGACAGUUUUGGUGUUCAGCUAGCAAUUUGCAGUCAUGGCCACCAAUGUGCAGAUAAAAGGCAAAGCUUCAAAGUUUGACUGUCUCAUCUGUAGCAGGAAUCUGUCUUCAAGGCAGUGACUUGAGACACAUAUGCAGGCAAGUCAUAACAGAAGUUCAGUGGACUCUAGCUACAAAUGCAAACACUUUUUGAACAGGAUGCUUAAGUGUAGAAGCAAGUGGACAACAGCAAAAGAAAUGGUGUCUUGUAAAGUUGCAGGAAGACUCUUACCAGUCUCACCAGAUGAAUGCUGUGAAGGUCUUCUGCAGUCAACAAACUCAACUUCUGCAUUGGAUUUAAAAAAGUGUUUUCAUGUUGAAAUUAAUGGACAAAAGUACUUCAGUCAGGCAUAUCAGCGAAUGAAAAAAAGAACUUGUUAUUUUGUGGUUUGUCAUUCAGGUGAAGUAGUUUCAGUCAACAGGGUUCGCACAGGCCUUGAAAAGUCCUUGAAUUCGAUGGUAGUCCUUGAAAACUCCUUGAAAAUGACAAAACCCCUAAAAAACCUGGAAAAGUACUUGAAUUUUGAAAAAAACUCCUUGAAUUUGACCUUUCACUCCUUGAAAAUAUUCUUUCCGUAACUUUGCUUUGCAAAAAGAAUUUAAGGCUUAAAAUAAAUCGGAGAAAAUGAAAAUAAAUUCAUGAAAUUGCAGGAUCGGGUCACUCGUAUGCUGUUAUAGUGGUCUACGGCCAAACUUUAACGAUAUUUACAGAGUGCUAUUUCUACUAUAUCACCGUUUGCAUGUUUCCGUUUCCUUUUAAAAAAGUACGGGGAAUAAUAACUCGCAAUUUUUAACUAUUUGCAAGUGUUUCCAGUGAAUUAAAAUGAGUAAGAAAAAUAAAGAUGUUUACUCAAGUAAGCGGGAGACAAAAGACGAAUAUAAACAGUGGCUGAAGCCCUAUAGAGCAGACAGAACGAAGUGUAUUUGUACGUCGUGUGACAAAAUUUUGAGGUAUCAUUAGUAAGAGUGCGCUAAAAAAUCACAAGAAUAGUGAUAAACCUCAGCAAAAUAGUGAAUUACAUCAAUCUGAUAAUCGAAUUACGUCAUUUUCAAAGGUGUGACAAGUGAUGGUUGUUUUAUUUUUGCAUUACAUAAUAAAAGUUGUUCAGAUUAGGUCGUGGUUUUGAAAAAAAAUAGUGCUUGAAAAAUUGUAAAAAGGCCUUGAAAAGUCCUUGAAAAGUACUUGAAUUUUGUCUCUGAUAUUCUGUAUGAACCAUGGUCAAGUUUUUUGUUGUUAAAGAAAAGAAAGUGUUUGCUGUCUUGAAAGUAUAUGAAAUACCUGAUGACUGUUACAUCCUUAGAUCUUGUGGCAGACAUAUAUUUAAAGUUGUAUCAACUGAAUGUCUGAAAACAAUUCAUGUGUCUGAGAUCAUGGAUAAACUUUUCUAUAUAGCUAUUGACAAUGCUGUAUAUGUUGUAUGUAUGCCAAACAUUCUAGGCAGAAGUGUGUUUAAGUAAGGUACAAACAGUCCACACGAAUGCCCCCCUAUCCAGUGGUUAGACCAAUAAAAUACUUUUCAUUAAAAAGAGUACUCUAGCAAAUUAGUAUUGAUUAGUGUAUUUCAGAAAAUAACCUGACAAUAUAUAUGGUUAUAAUUAGUCCCCUACUGUGAAACUGGAAGAAACUAUAGGUUUACCCUCCGUCUGUCCAUCUGUCUGUCAGCGAAAAAGAAGUGGAUUAUGCGAUUACACAAAAAGUACAUAAGCUAGGUUCAUGAAACUUGGUGUGUAGUUACAGGACGAUAUGUAGAUUAUGCACAUCAUUUUAUUUUUUCAGUCAGACUAAAAUUAUUGGUUGCUAUGAUAACAGAAAUUCCGUCUGUCCUUAAGCGAAAAAAAGUGGAUUACGCAAUUACUCAUAAAAAAGGGUCCUAGCAGUAUCUAUGGCAGCACAGGCCCAAAUCAGCCUUUGGGGCACAAGAUACAUAUGUACAGUUCAUGAGAUAAAAUUUUAACGCUUUUGUAUGCUACACAUUUAUAUGAUCAUGCUUAAAUCUGCACAUACAGUUAUUACAAUAAAAAUUAUCUCAGAGCAGGUGGAUCUUUAGAAAUUUUGUUCAGUAUAAAUUUUAUGAAAAGUUCAUGCCAGAUAUAUUUUCUGCUUGUUUUAAGUGCAUAAAAAAUCUUUGUUUCUGACCAUGGUCUGUAUCCUUUCCAACCAUGGUUUACAUACAUAAUGUCUGUGUCAGUUUGUUUUUAACCAUGGUUGUAAUUUUUCACCAUGGUAACAAAGUUGACCAUGGUCAGUCAUAUCUCAACCAUGGUCUACAUCAGUUGACCAUGGUGGCCUAUUUUUUCAACCAUUGUUUGACCAUAGUCAACCAUGUCAAAAUUUCUGGUCCAACCAUGGUCAAACCUGGAAUGGCUAUGCUGAACCAUGGUUGUAAAUGGUUGAACAUGGUCACAUUUCGCAGGGGGUUGUCACUCAUUGUCUGCGUUAACGCGUGUUAGUUAAGUUUUUCGGUUAAGUUUGUUAAAAUCAACAGAUCUCCAGGUUAAGUUUUUCAAACAGACCUUGGUCAAAGUUUGAAGUGGUUAGGCGCUUGAUUGUCAAUCAAGAGGUCGUGCCAACCUCUGCGGCGAUUACUUCCCCUUGCGAUACAGUAACUAAUGAACGCCAGGGAAGGUAACUGCUGCGAAUAGCUUGGAGGUCGCGAGGUUGUAUCAUGCCUUUGGCGCUUGAAAUUUAAAAUUAAUAGUACAUGCUUAAAGACUUGUGUAAAUAAAAGAUCAGAGCAGAAAAUAAAAUAUGAAAACCGUGACUGACUUGACAGUUAUUGUAGUUUGGACU